rnacentral:rRNA from 1 species
UACAGAGGUCUCAAGCGUUUGUUCGGAUUCAUUGGGCGUAAAGGGUGCGUAGGCGGCGCGGUAAGUCGGGUGUGAAAUCUCGGAGCUUAACUCCGAAACUGCAUUCGAUACUGCCGUGCUUGAGGACUGGAGAGGAGACUGGAAUUUACGGUGUAGCGGUGAAAUGCGUAGAUAUCGUAAGGAACACCUGGCGGCGAAGGCGGGUAGCUGGGCCGACACUGACGCUGGAGGCGCGAAAGCCGUGGGGAGCAAACAGG